rnacentral:rRNA from 1 species
UACGUAGGGGGCUAGCGUUGUCCGGAAUCAUUGGGCGUAAAGAGCGUGUAGGCGGCCCGGUAAGUCCGCUGUGAAAGUCGGGGGCUCAACCCUCGAAUGCCGGUGGAUACUGUCGGGCUAGAGUGCGGAAGAGGCGAGUGGAAUUCCUGGUGUAGCGGUGAAAUGCGCAGAUAUCAGGAGGAACACCCGUGGCGAAAGCGGCUCUCUGGGACGGUACUGACGCUGAGACGCGAAAGCGUGGGGAGCAAACAGG